UACGUAGGGUGCGAGCGUUUGUCCGGAAUUACUGGGCGUAAAGAGCUCGUAGGCGGCUUGUUGCGUCAGCUGUGAAAACCCGCAGCUCAACUGUGGGCUUGCAGCUGAUACGGGCAGGCUUGAGUUCGGUAGGGGAGACUGGAAUUCCUGGUGUAGCGGUGAAAUGCGUAGAUAUCAGGAGGAACACCCAUGGCGAAGGCAGCAAACUGGGCAUUAACUGACGCUGAGGCGCGAAAGCGUGGGUAGCAAACAGG
rnacentral:rRNA from 1 species